AACACUUGCAUAAGCAUUCAGAUUGGGUUGGCUGAUUCUGAUUUGGGCCGCUACAUUGAAAUGGGCUUAAGUGUUGCGCACCGUUUUUGCUGGGCAAAGGAUGCUUCUGGGUAUUGCUCAAGAACAAUUCAUUUUCCAAAUGAAGGGAGGCUCAAUCAUCAGAGGAAGGCGCGACUUGAAGUAAAAUGAAGAGAGACCGUUGGAUCGAGAAAUGAAGCGCGAAGCAUUAGAGGUUUCUCCCAUUUCCGUUUUCCCUCUGCUUUUCUGCUGUAAUUCUGGAUUUGGAUUGAGCAAUCACGAUGGUGACAGCCCGUGGUGGUCUCGAUCGUGCUUUUCUCGGUGACUUUUGCUUAAUAAGGAUUGGAAAAUAUCAAAGCGACCAGGACCCAGUGGCCCAGCGACCAGGAUGCUCUGGCCCAGCGAGUUGACCUUGCUCGCCCAGCGAGAAAUCACUUAUGCUUCUUCUCUUUAAAAACGCGAACCAGAGGUAGAGGCAACAGUUCUGAGGUGUGGGAACGCUGCAGACCUCUCCUAGCUCGAGUUUGGAGGCUUCCAGGAUGCAGGAACACCAUUUCUCACCAUCCAAUCCAUCCGUUUUCUUCUUUCUUGCUUCCGUGAUGUCUAGGAGUAGCUAAAACUCCAUUUCAUUGGGGUUGAAAGUAAUGUAUCAAAACUUUAUGUAAACUUUCUGUUUUAUGCUUAAUCCUUGAUGAAUCUUUUGUUCUAUGCUUGUUAUUCAUGCUUAAUGAUGGAAAUCUGAGCUAUUAGAGUGAUUUGAAUCAUUGGGAAAUGCUAGGAUCACGGACAUAGGUAGAACAACCGAUAGAACUUAAUUCUAGACAUAGAUUGAGAACUUUUGGGAAUCAAUAACAUCGGUCUUAAUGCGAAUCUGAAUUCUAAGGGAUUAGAGUUUCUGUAAAAAGAUUUAGAGCUUGUCAUCUGAGGAAUUAGAGACUUGUCUGCUUAUGAUGUUGAUGCAUGAUUCUUGAGGAAUUGAAUUUGAUAGUAAAGAAUACUGAGUUUUGAACAUGAAAUUCAACCCCAAUGAACCUAAACUUGACUGUUUUUACCACUUUGUAUAUCUGUAUUUUAUUCUGUAUUGUGUAGAAAAAUACAUUUGAUAAUCAUAUUUGACGCUAAAUUAGUAAACUUCCACAAUUAGCAAACCAAACAAAGCUCUUGGGAAACGAUAUCCGGACUUACCGGUUUAUUACUUGUACGAUUCGGUACGCUUGCCGAACUCUCAACAAGUUUUUGGCGCCGUUGCCG
rnacentral:sRNA from 1 species